GUAGGGGGCAAGCGUUGUCCGGAAUUAUUGGGCGUAAAGCGCGCGCAGGCGGUCUCUUAAGUCCGAUGUGAAAGCCCACGGCUCAACCGUGGAGGGUCAUUGGAAACUGGGGGACUUGAGUGUAGGAGAGGAAAGUGGAAUUCCAUGUGUAGCGGUGAAAUGCGUAGAUAUGUGGAGGAACACCAGUGGCGAAGGCGACUUUCUGGCCUACAACUGACGCUGAGGUGCGAAAGCGUGGGGAGCAAACAGGGAUUAGAUACCCUGGUAGUCCACGCCGUAAACGAUGAGUGCUAGGUGUUAGGGGUUUCGAUGCCCUUAGUGCCGAAGUUAACACAUUAAGCACUCCGCCUGGGGAGUACGACCGCAAGGUUG
rnacentral:rRNA from 1 species